rnacentral:rRNA from 1 species
GACGAACGCUGGCGGCGUGCCUAAUACAUGCAAGUCGUGCGGACCUUUUAAAAGCUUGCUUUUAAAAGGUUAGCGGCGGACGGGUGAGUAACACGUGGGCAACCUGCCUGUAAGACUGGGAUAACGCCGGGAAACCGGGGCUAAUACCAGAUCGUUUUUUCCUCCGCAUGGAGGAAAAAGGAAAGGCGGCUUCGGCUGCCACUUACAGAUGGGCCCGCGGCGCAUUAGCUAGUUGGCGGGGUAACGGCCCACCAAGGCAACGAUGCGUAGCCGACCUGAGAGGGUGAGCGGCCACAUUGGGACUGAGACACGGCCCAAACUCCCACGGGAGGCAGCAGGAGGGAAUCUUCCGGAAUGGACGAAAGUCUGACGGAGCAACGCCGCGUGAGUGAAGAAGGCCUUCGGGUCGUAAAACUCUGUUGCCGGGGAAGAACAAGUGCCGUUCGAACAGGGCGGCGCCUUGACGGUACCCGGCCAGAAAGCCACGGCUAACUACGUG